AUUGAACGCUGGCGGCAUGCUUUACACAUGCAAGUCGAACGGCAGCGCGGGCUUCGGCCUGGCGGCGAGUGGCGAACGGGUGAGUAAUACAUCGGAACGUGCCCAGUAGUGGAGGAUAGAUCGGCGAAAGCCGGAUUAAUACCGCAUACGACCUGAGGGUGAAAGCGGGGGAUCUUCGGACCUCGCGCUAUUGGAGCGGCCGAUGGCAGAUUAGCUAGUUGGUGGGGUAAAGGCCUACCAAGGCGACGAUCUGUAGCUGGCCUGAGAGGACGACCAGCCACACUGGGACUGAGACACGGCCCAGACUCCUACGGGAGGCAGCAGUGGGGAAUUUUGGACAAUGGGCGAAAGCCUGAUCCAGCAAUGCCGCGUGUGUGAUGAAGGCCUUCGGGUUGUAAAGCACUUUUGGCGGGAACGAAAAGGACUGUGCCAAUACCACGGUUCGAUGACGGUACCCGCAGAAUAAGCACCGGCUAACUACGUG
rnacentral:rRNA from 1 species